CACAGGAUCAGCUGACCCCGCCCAGCCAAUGGGGAGGUGAUGGAACAGCGCGCGCCAGCGGGAGCAGCGCGAGGCGGCGGCGGCAGGUCCCGGGCAGGGAGGCAAGGAGGAGGACGGCGCGUGCGCGCGCGCUCUCGAGAUUAAAUUACUGCAAUGCUCUCUACAUGAACUACCUGGAAACUGCAGUUUGUUCAGAAGGCAGGAGCCAUUUUACGAAGCAGGAUCUCUCCAGAAGCACAUUACACCAGUGCUCUGAUCUGCAUUGGUUUCUAGAUCUGUUCAGCUUCUGCUGCUUAUUCCCUUCACUUCUUGUCAGAAACCUCCAUUUGCAAUAUCAGAAUUCGGUUGCUGUGGAAGUGGUUUUGAUGUCGCAGACAAAGGAAUCUGACUCCAGCAAAAGGAGCUGAACUUUUGAGGAAAAAUGAUCCCAUAUCCAUGAAGAUGUUUUAAGUGUGUGAAUUUAAAAUAGUAAGCCAUACAAAAUAUAUGGCUCACUGGCAAGACGUUCUCCAGCGAGGCAGAAGAGACCAUUAUAUCAAUAAAUCCUCAUUAUCUGAAUCACUAAACAUAUCAAAAUAGUAAAAGAAGAAAAUAUUAGAAGAACCACUCAUCUCUUAAAACAGUCUUAUGAAAACCAACUCUGCCUUGCCAGAGCACGUUUUAUAAAAGGGGAUUUUUAAAUGUGUUUGCCUUUAACAGGGGUUUUCUUUGUUGAUUUUUUUCUGCCCACAGGGGAGUGGCAAUUUCCAGACUUGACAGGCUCGCCUCAUUUUUAAAUCCCCGUAACAUAUGAUCUCAAGUUUUAGAGACAGUUGAGAUUAGAUUCUUACUUCCAUUCCCUCACUGGUUUCUUCCAACAUGUAUGCAAGAGUUGUUUUGAAUAUCAGAUGAUCAAAAACUUCCUUGGGGGUAUUUUUUCUAUAAGAAGGGUUAGGGUUGGUUCUCCACAUCACUGAUCUCUUAGUAUUUAACAGACUCCCCACUUCUAUGUAAUUACAGAAGUUUAGGUACAUUACAAAGCAUUUGAGACAGGCUUAUGGCAGGAGGUGGAGGGUAAGCAAGGUGGAUAGGACUGGACCAGGAUUGUUGGAUGCUGUGUAUCCUUGGCUUGUCUAGUAAGUGACCCAUACUUAUGCCUAGUCUGAAGGACCAUUUAGAUAUACAAUAAAUCUCAGGAACCUCCAGGGACAGAAACUAAUGUUACGCUCCAAUGAAUUUCAGUUUUGUUAUGACAUAUAGCAGGAUUUUGUAACUCCGGUAACUCAUGAAACACUGGACCAAAAAAAAAAAAUACAUAUUCUGAUUUCCCUUAUGCCUUAUCUUCCCCACCCUUCACAAGAAACCCCAAACCCAACAACUUCAAAUUCAACUGACUUUAAUAUCUGCUACAUCAAGAACUGCAAGAGCUAGAAACAAUGCAGUAUUGAAGCCACUAAUCUCAAUUUGCAAAAACCAUUAAUCCCUGACUCUUAAGAGUUUAGCAGCAAAGUCUUCUAAAAUCAUGCUGGAACUGAAGUAGGAACAUGGAGCAAAACAGUAAUCAGAAUGACCUGAUUUUAAAAUAUGAGUAUUACCUACUAUCCUAGGAGCAUUGCCUACACAUAGAUCAGAGUCCCAUGCUGUUAGUAACAUCAUGGGAAGUUCCUACUUCCAGGUUCAAGAGGAUAUACAAACAGUCCAAUUAAGUUAACUGGACUUAAUUUUUAAGAUAAUAAAUCUUUGCUUCUAUAGUCAUUACUGUUUCUCUUGGAGAUGAAAAUAGGAACUAAUUAUUUUUCUAGGUGCAUGGGACUCUAAUGACUGAGCAAAGUUUGACAGAAGAGGUAGUCUCAGCUGAGGGACAGAUAUUUAACUUUUCUUUAAAGGUUUAUGAAACAAUUAGACUUUGUCUACAAGAAAAAUGUUGGGUUUCUUGUUUUGUUUAAAAUUGCCAGUACUGCAGUUUUUGGUCAAGGUUCUGAAUGUUGAGCGGGGGUCUUUCCAUCUUACGCAUCUUCACCAGUAAAAGAGGAGCUACAGUUCAAAUUAAGCCCUCAGUGAGUUUGCACGUGUCUUAGCCAAGUUUAAGGCCCAGAAUUCCAUAUUUGCCAGGGUAGAAAAAAAACACUGCAGCACAAAUGAUUUCAUGACCAAUGAUCAGAAAUAAUAAAAAUUCAGUCCUAGGAACAACCACCAGCACCACUGACCUGAACCCAGCACUCACACUCAUUAUAUAUAUAUAUGGACCUGACCUUUGUGAAUGUCAGGGUGGGGAGAAAGCAUAUAUCAUCCCUGGAGGAUGAUAUAGGUGACAAAUCUGAGGAACUGUCCCAGACUGAGGUGUCAUUAGAAGAGG